UUGAUCUUUAGGAGACUGGGUUGGGAU
rnacentral:sRNA from 1 species